UAUUCUGAACUCAGUUUGUCAGUUAAAUAUCGUUCUUCAUCUGAAAGGUUUUCAUGCUGCUCACAAAAUGAGGCCCAUGAUGUAGAGGAAGGAGGCGGGAUCAGCUCGGUGUGAUCAUCUGAGCUGAAGAACGGUCAGAUCCCUCUGAGCUACAAUGAGAGGCGCAUCUCUACGACGUCUGUUCUUUCUGAUCUUCUUGCUGUGCUUAACAACAGUUAAAGUCCUCCCAGCUGGUCUGACUGUGA